rnacentral:misc_RNA from 1 species
AGCAGCCGCGGUAAUUCCAGCUCCAAUAGCGUAUAUUAAAGUUGUUGCAGUUAAAAAGCUCGUAGUUGAAUUUCGGGAUUGACGUGAUGGUCGUGCCUUACGGGGUAUGAACUGUUGCAGUCAAUUUCUCACCUUCUGGAGAAAUAUGAUGUCCUUAAUUGGGUGUCAUAUGGAACCAGAACUUUUACCUUGAAAAAAUUAGAGUGUUUAAAGCAGGCUUAUUGCUCGAAUACAUUAGCAUGGAAUAAUAAAAUAGGACGGCAUGGUUCUAUUUUGUUGGUUUCUAGGAUCACCGUAAUGAUUAAUAGGGAUAGUUGGGGGCAUUAGUAUUCAAUUGUCAGAGGUGAAAUUCUUGGAUUUAUUGAAGACUAACUACUGCGAAAGCAUUUGCCAAGGAUGUUUUCAUUAAUCAAGAACGAAAGUUAGGGGAUCGAAGACGAUCAGAUACCGUCGUAGUCUUAACCAUAAACUAUGCCGACUAGGAAUCAGACGAUGUUAAUUUUUUUCAAUGACUCGUUUG